AUGGCGGGGACGGGGGUGUUCGCGGACGUGCUGGACGGCGAGGUCUACAAGUACUACGCCGACGGGGAGUGGCGCGCCUCCGCCUCCGGCAAGACGGUCGCCAUCGUCAACCCUACCACCCGCCAGACGCAGUACAGGGUGCAAGCAUGCACACAGGAGGAGGUGAACAAGGUGAUGGACGCCGCCAAGGUGGCGCAGAAGUCGUGGGCGCGGACUCCGCUGUGGAAGCGCGCGGAGCUCCUCCACAAGGCGGCGGCCAUCCUCAAGGAGCACAAGACCCCGAUCGCCGAGUGUCUGGUCAAGGAGAUCGCCAAGCCGGCCAAGGAUGCCGUUUCUGAGGUGGUGCGGUCCGGCGAUUUGGUGUCAUACACGGCCGAGGAGGGUGUCCGGAUACUGGGGGAGGGCAAGCUGCUGGUAUCAGAUAGCUUCCCCGGUAAUGAGCGCAACAAGUACUGUUUGAGCUCCAAGGUACCUCUUGGAGUAGUUUUGGCAAUCCCACCAUUUAACUAUCCUGUCAACCUGGCGGUUUCUAAGAUUGGCCCGGCGCUAAUUGCUGGCAAUUCUCUUGUGCUCAAGCCUCCGACUCAGGGCGCGGUGGCAGCGCUCCAUAUGGUACACUGCUUUCACCUGGCCGGUUUCCCAAAGGGCCUGAUUAGUUGUGUUACUGGGAAAGGCUCUGAAAUAGGUGAUUUUCUCACAAUGCACCCUGGAGUCAACUGCAUAAGUUUCACGGGAGGCGAUACCGGUAUAGCCAUUUCAAAGAAGGCCGGGAUGGUCCCGCUUCAGAUGGAGCUAGGAGGAAAAGAUGCCUGCAUUGUGCUGGAGGAUGCAGACCUCGAUCUAGUCGCGGCAAACAUAGUAAAAGGAGGCUUCUCAUACAGUGGCCAGAGGUGCACUGCCGUAAAAGUGGUUCUGAUCAUGGAAGCGGUUGCCGACAGCGUGGUGGAGAAGGUCAAUGCCAAGCUGGCAAAGCUGAAAGUUGGCCCGCCCGAGGAUGACUGUGAUAUCACCCCAGUUGUAACAGAAUCCUCGGCAAAUUUCAUUGAAGGCUUGGUAAUGGAUGCCAAGGAGAAAGGUGCAACUUUUUGCCAAGAGUACAGGAGAGAAGGCAACCUUAUCUGGCCGUUGUUGUUGGAUCAUGUCCGGCCUGACAUGAGGAUCGCCUGGGAGGAGCCUUUUGGCCCUGUCUUGCCCGUGAUCAGGAUCAACUCGGUUGAGGAAGGCAUCCACCAUUGCAACGCCAGCAACUUUGGGCUCCAGGGAUGUGUGUUCACAAGAGACAUCAACAAGGCAAUCAUGAUCAGUGAUGCAAUGGAGAGUGGAACUGUGCAGAUCAACUCCGCCCCGGCUCGAGGUCCGGACCAUUUCCCCUUCCAGGGUCUGAAGGACAGUGGAAUAGGAUCCCAGGGGAUAACCAACAGCAUAAACAUGAUGACCAAGGUGAAGAGCACUGUCAUAAACCUCCCAUCUCCGUCCUACACCAUGGGCUGA
rnacentral:rRNA from 1 species